rnacentral:rRNA from 1 species
UACAGAGACUGCAAGCGUUAUUCGGAUUCACUGGGCGUAAAGGGUGCGCAGGCGGUCGGGUGUGUCAGAUGUGAAAUCCCGAGGCUCAACCUCGGAACUGCGUCUGAAACUACUCGACUAGAGUACUGGAGAGGGUAACGGAAUUCACGGUGUAGCAGUGAAAUGCGUAGAUAUCGUGAGGAACACCGGUGGCGAAGGCGGAUCUCUGGGCCAUAACUGACGCUGAGGAGCGAAAGCAUGGGGAGCGAACAGG